UACCCCAGAGCAAACCGAUGGUCAGGGA
rnacentral:piRNA from 1 species